GAUGAACGCUGGCGGCGUGCCUAAUACAUGCAAGUCGAGCGAACGGACGAGAAGCUUGCUUCUCUGAUGUUAGCGGCGGACGGGUGAGUCACACGUGGAUAACCUACCUAUAAGACUGGGAUAACUUCGGGAAACCGUAGCUAAUACCGGAUAAUCUUUUGCACCGCAUGGUUCAAAAGUGAAAGACGGUCUUGCUGUCACUUAUAGAUGGAUCCGCGCUGCAUUAGCUAGUUGGUAAGGUAACGGCUUACCAAGGCAACGAUGCAUAGCCGACCUGAGAGGGGGAUCGGCGACACUAGAACGGAAACACGGUCCAGACUCCUACGGGAGGCAGCAGUAGGGAACCGUCCGCAGUGGGCGAAAGCCUGACGGAGCAACGCGGCGUGAGUGAUGGAGGUCUUCGGAUCGUAAAACUCUGUUAUUAGGGAAGAACAUAUGUGUAAGUAACUGUGCACAUCUUGACGGUACCUAAUCAGAAAGACACGGCUAACUACGUG
rnacentral:rRNA from 1 species